UACGUAGGGUGCGAGCGUUAAUCGGAAUUACUGGGCGUAAAGCGUGCGCAGGCGGUUUUGUAAGCCAGAUGUGAAAUCCCCGGGCUUAACCUGGGAAUGGCAUUUGUGACUGCAUGGCUAGAGUGCGGCAGAGGGGGAUGGAAUUCCGCGUGUAGCAGUGAAAUGCGUAGAUAUGCGGAGGAACACCGAUGGCGAAGGCAAUCCCCUGGGCCUGCACUGACGCUCAUGCACGAAAGCGUGGGGAGCAAACAGG
rnacentral:rRNA from 1 species